CGAUAUACUAAUUAUUUUGCAUGUAUUAUCAAUAUAUUUUGUAUACUUCUCUCUAUAUACUCAUUUAUCACUAUGUAGUUAUAGAACUAUCUAAGGCCGAUCUUAGGUAAAAUAGAUUUGUUUUACAUGCUUAGGCUGUCAAAAUAAUAUAAGAACACUACAAAUCAAGUCUUACGACAGAUGCGCGUUUCACCUACUUAAACACAGCUUUCGAAUAAAAAAGUGGAAGGUCAUAUGAACUUCGAAGUUCAAGGGCUUUGAAAACAUAACAAUUAGAAAAAACAGGUAUAUUCUGAGUCAUGAUAUUCAAGCUGUACAAAAGAGGGACGAAAGAUACCAAAGGGACAGUCAAAUUCAUAAAUCGAAAAUAAACUAACAACGCCAUGGCCAAAAAUGAAUAAAAAAAACAAACAGACAAAAAAAGCACACACAACAUAGAAAACUAAAUAAUAUGCAACACGAACUCCAUAAAAAAAACUAGGGUGAUCUCAGAUGCUCUGGAAGGGUAAGCAGAUCCUGCUCCAAAUGUGGCACCCGUCGUGUUGCUUAUGUUAUAACAAAUCCGGUAGAUAAUUCGGUAGGUCACAUUCCUGAAAGUGAAGGGGAUUGUAGUUACGAUGUAAAGAACAUAUCCGAUAUCAUUUGUGAAAAGGUUAUUCCAUAACGGUCAACCAAC
rnacentral:lncRNA from 1 species